CUCCAAUUCUAUGCCUAAAUUUACUAGCAUGCACAAACAGAUACACACGCGCGCACCAGGACACUCGCAUACAUUUAAGCAUGCACCACUGUUUGAACAUUCACAUAUUCAUCUAUCUACAUUCAAGAACAAAUGCAUAAACAGAAAGAAAUUUCGAGUUGAUGUUUCCACACUAUUUCCUUUUCGUGAACAAAAGGAAUCCAAUAAUUUAGCAAACAAUGAUAUUUACUCACAACAAUUAUUUCCAAGAUAAAAAAGUGACAG
rnacentral:misc_RNA from 1 species